rnacentral:lncRNA from 1 species
CGCACACGCGCCGGACCGGGUACCGCUGUGCCCGGCCUGGCCGCGGCCUAGUCCCGGCAGACGGGACUGACGAGGUCACCAAGCCCAGGCCGAGACGGCGCGGGUGUCAGGGACUUGGGAAUCCCCCUCCCCCAGUCCCGAUCCCGCUUUCCUUUGGGGUUUCACCUCAGAGGACCCGACAGCACUCUUGCAGAACAGCCGUCUGCCUGUCUUCCUGGCUCGCUCCCUGCAGGAAUGGUCUGGGGCAACCCCAGCAACACGCCCACCUGUGGCCAGGAUGAAUAGGAAUCCAGUUCAGGCUUGGCUUCCAUGGCAAUCAAGGCCCACCAGGCCCCAGCAACCUUCCCUACCCCCCAUUCCUUUUUGCUGCCCCCCUCCACACCAGGCAUGUUCCCUGCCACACCAUGCUGUUCCCCUCACCUGGGCUGCCCUCCCAACUCCUCUCUGCCUCUGGAGAUGCUCUGCCAUUCAAGACUUGGCUCAGGCUCCAGGUCCUCCCUGGGCCUUCUAGAGCCCCUGGUUCUCACUCCUCUGAACACUUCCAGCCUGGCUAAUAGCCCACUGCAUCCUGGCCUGGGGUACAGGUGGCCAGCACAGGUGUGGGGGCCAGCUUCCAACACAAGCACGGGUAGGUCCCUCUGCAGACCAUGGGCUGCAAGAGGCCCGGCCUUGCCCACUGCAGGGGCCCUGCGCAGGGCUGGGCACGAAGCAGGUGGGUGUCCACCAAUCUAGUAUCCAAAACCCUGCUUGGUUCACCCCCACCUCUGUUGAAGGAAAGCAACACUGUGAUGGAGAGG